UAUAUCUCUCUCUCCCAUCUGAUCAUCACUCCUUUAAAAUCACCAUCAAAGAAAUUCCAAUUUUCUCGGAUUUUUAUUUUUUUUUUGUGUUUCUUACAAAUCCCUAAAACCCUACGUACUAGUCCCUUCCUCUCCUAAUUAACUCAACUCACACAGCUCAAGAAGCUCCUCUGUUUCUAGACAGUGCUUUUGAUGACCUCUGCCAACUACAACAACAACAGCAGCUGCUGCUUCAGACAGAGCUUUGUAUCUACUGACUUUUGAUGGUGAAAUAUCAAAAACCCUAAAUUAAUUUACACUUUUUAAAAUUUUUAUUUUGGGUUUUUCCUCUGAGGGUUUUCAUCAUCAAUGCUUACAACAAAGUACAGUGUGUAAAACCAAAACC